UUAUCAAUUUCAGUCUUUUACUUUAGCUACCUCCCUCUAUUCCCAUUCUCUCAUCUGCCAUCGCCCUAUCUCCCUCAACCUCUCUCUCAUCUCAGUCUCGCAAAUGGCCCUUAAGCUCGCUUCUCACAAAUUAUGGAAAUUCUGAAGUUGGUUAGAAGAGAAUUAAGUGGAGAGUCUGUUAACAAUUUGAUCAAUUUUUUGGCAAGAUAGAAGAAUUGCCCAAUUUUUUUGGAUUAUUGUUGUAGAAUCUUCUAACCACAGCAGUAUCUGGAAGUGCUUUGUCCAAGGUUGCUGCUAGGGAAUUAGGUGAUGAAUCUCUGCUUGGAUGCUAGCGGCAACAUUGGAGCCAAUCGAGGUAGAGAAGAUAUGGUUUUCAUCUAAAGGGAACUUUUAAGUUUGGUUUAUUAUUUAUAUUUUGGGAGUGUUGUGAGAUCUUGUAUUAGUUAAUUCAUGAUAUGAUUAUAUGCAUAACUAUUAUUAAUGAGCAUCCCUAUUGCAAUAGUGGCUAUAUCGCUCCUAUUGAUAUUAGUAGCUUUAUUUGAAGUGAUUGGGCUUGUUUGAAUGAUGUUGUAGUUUGGGUGGUAUAAGGUGGAAGUAUUGGAAGUGUUUUUUUUUUUUUUUUCCAUUUAAGGUUUGUAAAAUUAGCCUAAUUAAGAGGCUUUUGUACGUUCUGGAUUAAUGCUGCUGAAAUUUCGUUAGAUAAAUAUUC